rnacentral:lncRNA from 1 species
GUAGAAAGAAAAAAAAAUAAAAAUGUCUAUGCUCUAGCAAGGAGGAAUCUGAAACAAAUACCUUCAGUAGCAAGGAGGAAUUUUGUCUUGUCUACUUGAGCUUAGACGAAAAGAGAGAAGCAAUCAAAUUUUUCCUUCUUACUUUUCCGAAACUGUUAACUUACUGCAAUUCAGGAACCAAAGUAGAUUCUGAAUAAUAACUCUUCUAGUGUUUCUUCAAUAUUGUCAAGGAGAGAGAAAAUUAAGACAUCUGAGCAAAAUACCAUUUCAAGGUCAAUCUCCGUAAAAUAGCCAAUACAAACUAUCUGCAACCCAUCAUAAAAUCUCAGGCUUUGCAAAAGUCUCAACACCCUUCCCUCCCUUGAACUCUAAAAUCAAAAUAAGUUUGUUUUCCAUAAUCCCUUAAUGACUUCUUGCCCCAUAGUUGGAAUUUAACAGAACUGGAGUUUCUGCUCGAUGAGCACCAUAUUUAUACUUGAAUAUAUCAAUUAAUGAAGAGGGUGGUUCAAUUCCUGUUAAUGUCAAGAUCAAUUGAUAGUCUAGAGAGCAUAUACAUUUGUUCUUCAUCAAGCAUAUAAGAUCCAGAUUUCGCUAAAUACCCUUCAACUUUCAUCAAUGCAUUUAAUCUUUUCAAGAGUGCGAGUAUUUCACCAGAAUUAGGACGAGAUUUAUGACCUCCAACUAUAUCCAGGAAACUUUUUAACUCCUCUUUCUUGCAUUUUUGUCCUCACUGAAUUAACCCCCUCCCAGUUGCCUGAUUCCGCAUAUAUAUUGGAAAGCAGCACAUAUGGAGAAGAAUUUUGUGGUUGCAACUGAAUAAGCUUUUCUGCUGCAUACUGCCCUCUUACGUCAUCCCCGUGCAAUCUGCAU